GACGAACGCUGGCGGCGUGCUUAACACAUGCAAGUCGAACGAAGUGGCGAGCGGGUGAGUAAUACGUGGGUAACCUGCCCUCCUUUUUGGGAUAAGCCUUGGAAACGGGGGCUAAUACCGAAUACAGGGGGAUGGGCUGGCGGCUUAUCAGCUUGUUGGGGGGGUGAUGGCCUACCAGGGCGGGGACGGGUAGCCGGCCUGAGAGGGUGAUCGGCCACACUGGGACUGAGAGACGGCCCAGACUCCUACGGGAGGCAGCAGUGGGGGAUAUUGCACAAUGGGCGAAAGCCUGAUGCAGCGACGCCGCGUGGGUGAUGAAGGCUUUCGGGUUGUAAAGUACUUUCAGCGGGGAGGCGUUACCCGCAGAAGAAGCACCGGCUAACUCCGUGCCAGCAGCCGCGGUAAUAC
rnacentral:rRNA from 1 species